AACGAACGCUGGCGGCAGGCCUAACACAUGCCAGUCGAGCGAGGACUUCGGUUCUAGCGGCGGACGGGUGAGUAACGCGUGGGAAUGUGCCCUUCUCUACGGAAUAGCCCUGGGAAACUGGGAGUAAUACCGUAUACGCCCUAUUGGGGAAAGAUUUAUCGGAGAAGGAUCAGCCCGCGUUGGAUUAGGUAGUUGGUGGGGUAAUGGCCUACCAAGCCGACGAUCCAUAGCUGGUUUGAGAGGAUGAUCAGCCACACUGGGACUGAGACACGUCCCAGACUCCUACGGGAGGCAGCAGUGGGGAAUCUUAGACAAUGGGGGCAACCCUGAUCUAGCCAUGCCGCGUGAGUGAUGAAGGCCUUAGGGUUGUAAAGCUCUUUCAGCUGGGAAGAUAAUGACGGUACCAGCAGAAGAAGCCCCGGCUAACUCCGUG
rnacentral:rRNA from 1 species